CCUACGGGGGGCAGCAGUAAGGAAUAUUGGUCAAUGGAGGCAACUCUGAACCAGCCAUGCCGCGUGCAGGAAGACGCCCUAUGGGUUGUAAACUGCUUUUAUCUGGGAAUAUGUACCAGAAGAAUAAGGAUCGGCUAACUCCGUGCCAGCAGCCGCGGUAAUACGGAGGAUCCAAGCGUUAUCCGGAUUUAUUGGGUUUAAAGGGUGCGUAGGCGGCCUGUUAAGUCAGGGGUGAAAGACGGUAGCUCAACUAUCGCAGUGCCCUUGAUACUGAUGGGCUUGAAUGAACUAGAGGUAGGCGGAAUGAGACAAGUAGCGGUGAAAUGCAUAGAUAUGUCUCAGAACACCGAUUGCGAAGGCAGCUUACUAUGGUUCAUUGACGCUGAGGCACGAAAGCGUGGGGAUCAAACAGGAUUAGAUACCCUUGUAGUC
rnacentral:rRNA from 1 species